rfam:Brachypodium distachyon strain Bd21 chromosome 1, whole genome shotgun sequence.
UUUUCACUCCCUCCAUCUGGUAUUAAGUGUCACAACUUUAUUUUGAUAUGCAUGUAUCUAGACGAGUAUUAGUAUAUAGAUAUAUGUGUAUUUAGACGAAGUUGCGACACUUAACACCGGAUGGAGAGAUUAGUUU